UAUAUUUUAGUAUAAAAUGUACAUAAGUUUUUGAUACUUAAGGGAAUAGUUUAAUUCUAUUAAAUAUAG
rnacentral:tRNA from 1 species